CUGGGGCUGGGUGAGUUGGUGUUCACAUUGGAGCUGGCCGUCGCUGCUGUACUGUUCUGAUGGGAAGGACCCUGCGAAAGAGAAACAAUUUCAUAUUAGCAUCAAAUAUUAAACUCCCAUCGGGGUAGUAUAGCAACGCCCAAAAACCGUUCAACACCUUUCUAAUCAACCUGCCCUCCUAUCUGCUUCUGGGAACUUUUGCAAUGCACAAAAAGUGAAAAUCACUAAACCCCAUUCGCUGGCCGGCAGGCAAAACCCGGAUCAGAAAGCGGGCGGGCGUCGGCUGUUUGAUAAACCUGUCAUCCUACCGGUGUCCACCCUGGCCCGGAAUGGCCGGUUAACGAGACACACAAUGCGUACACCGGUUGCGUGAUACCCGGCGGAAUCGCAACCUGAAAAGAUUCCACCUGUUGUUGUUGGCCUGUGGGACGACACGAGGACGUUUUACUUUUUUUUCAGACGCUCGCAGGCACUGUUGCAGCAUGCCCGGUAGGUUUCCUGGGCAGCUGUGGGCCUGCAAUCGUUCCACCCCGACCGACUGGUUGAUCGACCGGGCUGGCCUGUCAACCCAUCAAAAAGAAGGCGAACAAAAUAUACACGUCAAAUGUGUCCAUGCCGAUUCGGUUCGAUCGAUUGACGGAUUUCUAGCUGUUGUUUUUUUUGUUCGCCUCUAGCGAGUCUGUCUGCUCCUCCUUUAUCCGGCGGACAGUUGUUGAUCAUGUCCAUAACGCUGUGGAAUGCUGGGAGCAAAACCGAUCAGUGGGGGAGGAAGGAGAGGAACGGGGGAUUUGUUUUUAUGUAAAUAUGCUAAUUUUCAGCUUCGCUUGAUGGAUGAAUCGAAGCAAAGGAUGUGGCAAAGCGGCGGUGAUGGUGGUGCACAUUUUAGGCUAAGCGCGCUCGGAGGCUUUUUAGAUUGGGUGACCGUGCGUGUGUGGAUUGUAUCCCACAGCAGUCCCCCUAAAAACCAUCCAAUGUAGGUGAUAUGAGUGAUAGUAUUUAAUUCGUCUUGAUCGAAAGGUUUUGAACGAUUCGAUCACGUUCGAAGAAAAAGAAAAAAAGAAUCGACGAGGCUAGGAUUACCCUCGUGGCAAAGGCGAUUAAGUCCUCACUCACUGUACGCGCCAGUAUGUCGUUCCGACAUCAGAAAACCCUACUCCAUUUGAAAUAGUAGAUAAAAUCCAAUCACUCGUCCACCGUUAA